UACGUAGGGGGCAAGCGUUGUCCGGAAUCAUUGGGCGUAAAGCGCGUGUAGGCGGCCCGAUAAGUCCGCUGUGAAAGUCCAGGGCUCAACCCUGGGAUGCCGGUGGAUACUGUCGGGCUCGAGUCCGGAAGAGGCGAGUGGAAUUCCUGGUGUAGCGGUGAAAUGCGCAGAUAUCAGGAGGAACACCCAUGGCGAAGGCAGGUUACUGGGCAUUAUCUGACGCUGAGGCGCGAAAGCGUGGGUAGCAAACAGG
rnacentral:rRNA from 1 species